rnacentral:rRNA from 1 species
UACGUAGGGUGCAAGCGUUAAUCGGAAUUACUGGGCGUAAAGCGUGCGCAGGCGGUUUUGUAAGCCAGAUGUGAAAGCCCCGGGCUCAACCUGGGAAGUGCAUUGGAUACUGGAAGACUUGAGUACGGGAGAGGGUAGUGGAAUUCCUAGUGUAGGAGUGAAAUCCGUAGAUAUCAGGAGGAAUACCGAUGGCGAAGGCAGGUCUCUGGGCUGACACUGACGCUCAUGCACGAAAGCGUGGGGAGCAAACAGGAUUAGAUACCCCGGUAGU